rnacentral:rRNA from 1 species
ACGGAAGGCAGCAGUGGGGAGUAUUGCACAAUGGAGGAAACUCUGAUGCAGCAACGCCGCGUGAGUGAAGAAGUAUUUCGGUAUGUAAAGCUCUAUCGAUGGGGAAUAUAAUGAAGGUACCCAAGUAAGAAGCCCCGGCUAACUACGUGCCAGCAGCCGCGGUAAUACGUAGGGGGCAAGCGUUAUCCGGAUUUACUGGGUGUAAAGGGAGCGUAGACGGCAAAGCAAGUCUGAAGUGAAAUCCCGGGGCUCAACCCUGGAACUGCUUUGGAAACUGUUUAGCUAGAGUGCAGGAGAGGUAAGUGGAAUUCCUAGUGUAGCGGUGAAAUGCGUAGAUAUUAGGAGGAACACCAGUGGCGAAGGCGGCUUACUGGACUGUAACUGACGUUGAGGCUCGAAAGCGUGGGGAGCAAACAGGAUUAGAUACCCUGGUA